GAAUGUGAGGGCAAUCUGGCUGUGACACCUGUCACAUGAGGUGCCAGGGAGGACCUGACUUAUCUGACUGUUAAAGCAGGGUGUCUUCUUACACUGUCAAUCACCAUGUGUGUCCCUUCUGAAGCUGUGGGCUUGGUCCAAGAAGAUGCUCUGCCCCAAAUAGAAUGGGAAUUUUUAUUCCAUAGUUGUUGCUCUCCCCUGCUAGAGUCUACAAAUAAGCUCUUACGGAUUUACUAGUGGAUCUGAGUUCAUAGAUUAUACCAGGUUGCACUCAGGGGGACCACUUGUG
rnacentral:snRNA from 1 species